UCUGUUAGCAGGGAAGAAGAGAGAUUGACGGUAACCUGCAGAGAAAGCGCCGGCUAACUAACGUGCCAGCAGCCGCGGUAAUACGUAGGGCGCGAGCGUUGUCCGGAAUUAUUGGGCGUAAAGAGCUUGUAGGCGGUUUGUCGCGUCUGCUGUGAAAGGCCGGAGCUUAACUCCGUGUAUUGCAGUGGGUACGGGCAGACUAGAGUGCAGUAGGGGAGACUGGAAUUCCUGGUGUAGCGGUGGAAUGCGCAGAUAUCAGGAGGAACACCGAUGGCGAAGGCAGGUCUCUGGGCUGUAACUGACGCUGAGAAGCGAAAGCAUGGGGAGCGAACAGGAUUAGAUACCCUGGUAGUCCAUGCCGUAAACGUUGGGCACUAGGUGUGGGGAACAUUCCACGUUUUCCGCGCCGUAGCUAACGCAUUAAGUGCCCCGCCUGGGGAGUACGGCCGCAAGGCUAAAACUCAAAGAAAUUGACGGGGGCCCGCACAAGCGGCGGAGCAUGCGGAUUAAUUCGAUGCAACGCGAAGAACCUUACCAAGGCUUGACAUAUACUGGACCGCAUCAGAGAUGGUGUUUCCCUUCGGGGCUGGUAUACAGGUGGUGCAUGGUUGUCGUCAGCUCGUGUCGUGAGAUG
rnacentral:rRNA from 1 species